rnacentral:lncRNA from 14 species
GACUAGAUGACCCAGGUCAGAUAGUACCAAAGAGGGGAGGCUUUCCUCUUCUUUGAGGAGAAGGUCUGGGUAAUUGAUGGAGGAAUUUGUAAGGGUGGAACUGGGAUGAGAGGAGGGAGAGGGUCUUAGUUUGGGAUAUAAAGUGAAUACAAAAUAAAUUCUUGGGAAAAAAUGGAGAAAAUUCUAUUGUGAAGAUAAUCUCAAUAGAUAAUGAUGAUAAAAUCUGAAUCAAAGCAAAUAGGAAACUCAAAGUGAAUAUAAUCUGAAAACCCCAUGAAGCUGUGAAAUACAGGCCUCUGUGGAUUUUGCCUGAACCUGUUUAAUCCUUCCAGUUGAGCUCACAUUCAGUUUAGAGGCAUUUUUAGUAAUGGUUACUUCCAAGGCCAUUGCUUUGACUUACAUCUGAAAGGCUGUUUCAUUCCUAGCUUCUAACAUUUUACCAUCUCUACACAUCCUCCGGUUCACCACCUUAGCUUUCCUCCCCUUUCCUUCCUUGGCUUUGCUUCAGUUCUUCAGUUUUCUGCAGAGAUCUUCCCUCAGGUCCCUGCAACACUCACUAUAUUUUACUGUCCCCUAAACCUGUUGGUUUUAUGUCUCUACUUACUGUCUUACCAAGUCAGUAUGCCAAGGACCUUCAAAACACACAACUAUAACAUGGGAGUUAUUGCAAAGGGGUUUCAAGAAACUUAGAAGCCAUCCUCUGAGUUCAAGUUGCUUUGCUUCUCAAACGUUGUGUGAACACACUAAAGUUGAUCAUUUUAACAUUCAUUUCAGUCAGUCUUCGCUGAUGUGGAAGUUCUUCUCUUGUUUGAUUAUUGAUUGAGUGGACUAGGUUUCCAGUCCCUAACUUAUUAUGGAUAUGUCUACAUUUUAAAAUUUACUCUGUGUGUGUGUGUGUGUGUGUGUGUGUGUGUGUGUGUGUGUGUGUAGAUGUAUGUAUGUGCAUACAUUCGUGUGUGUACAUGUGACUUUGAUAUGGGUGUCAUCAGAGGAAAACUUGUGACGUGACUUCUCUGUUUCCACCAUCUAAGUUCCAGGAAUCAAACCCAGACGCUUAUGUUUAUCCUGUGUGCCCUCUUCCACUGAGAUGUCUUGCUAGCCCUGUUGUGGACUAUUUUUACAGACUCCAGACAGAACCUUCAAAUCUGAGUGUCAAAUUGUUUGAAAGAAUGGGACUAUCGCGUCAUCUUGUUCUCUACGUCUGCCAUGGAGGACUAGGAAAAUCUGGAGUGGGUACCUAUCUUAAUAUGUCACUUUGGACUUCCUCUGGUUAUUUAUUUAAAGUUAUAACACUUGUACUAUUGCAAACAAAAGUUCUGAACUUAUGGACAUAAAUGCCUGUGGUCUUUAUUAGAAUGUUAAAAUUAAUUUAGAGGGAAAAUUAAAGAUGAAUAUAUUUGCAGUCUACAGCUCAAGUUUUUAUAUCAUCAUUAUAUAUUAAACAAUAUUGGAAGUGGGAUGACUUCACAUGAAAGUGUCUUUAGAAGACAUGUCCUGUUUAGCUCCUCCCAUUUAUCAUCCUGCCAAUCAUCCAGUUAAGACUCCUGUUUUGGCUAUUUGAGCAAGUUAAAUCACCAUCUGAGGGGGGUCACUGAAAUUGCUGUUCUGUAUUUUCCAACAUAAUGCCAACUUUGCCUGUUUUAUGCUUUUAUAUCGUAUUAAAAUAAACCUGCAUUAUUUAUUAUGUGC